rnacentral:rRNA from 1 species
CCUACGGGAGGCAGCAGUGGGGGAUAUUGCACAAUGGGGGGAACCCUGAUGCAGCGACGCCGCGUGGGCGAUGGAGUGCUUCGGCAUGUAAAGCCCUAUCAGCAGGGAAGAAAAUGACGGUACCUGACUAAGAAGCCCCGGCUAAAUACGUGCCAGCAGCCGCGGUAAUACGUAUGGGGCAAGCGUUAUCCGGAUUUACUGGGUGUAAAGGGAGCGUAGGCGGCCUGGCAAGCCUGAUGUGAAAUACCGGGGCCCAACCCCCGGACUGCUCUGGAAACUGCCAGGCUGGAGUGCAGGAGAGGUAAGUGGAAUUCCUAGUGUAGCGGUGAAAUGCGUAGAUAUUAGGAGGAACACCAGUGGCGAAGGCGGCUUACUGGACUGUAACUGACGUUGAGGCUCGAAAGCGUGGGGAGCAAACAGGAUUAGAUACCCGGGUAGUC